ensembl:lncRNA
GUAAAGUUCAUCUUCAGUCUCGCUAGGAGUUGCUAAAUUCUUAUGACCAUUCCAAUUUGUAAGUUAGUAGAUACUAGUAAGCCUAUUACUGGCUAAUAAGCUGUUAAAACGUCCAGUGGCAAAAGCCAUACAGUUCAUAGAUGCUAUUUGUGGUUGAGGUAAACUUAAAAACAUUAGUCAGUUUAACACAAUGCCUAAUGGCGUCUUGCCAAAUAUUCAAAUUUGGCGUAAUGUUAAUGACAAAAUGAUCUAAUAUUGAGAUGCUAUACAGACACAUUCACACUUGUAGCUCUGUGGCGUAGUGGUUAAACACACAGCCUCACACGUGAGAGCUGCUGAACUAGGCUUGCCUCGUUCCUUUUCUGGGUUGAGAUUGUGACUAACAACAGCUAAGGUCUGUUCUUAAAGCUUAAGGACGUAACUUUCAUAACAGGAAAGAUUUCCGACUCAUUUUUCCAGAAAUCUCGGCUGUCGCUGGUGUGACGUGUGUGACAUCACUCUUAAAGACGUUAUCUGUGCACUUUAAUCAGUUCAUCUAAAAAAAAUCUGAAUCGACCAGCAAGUCGUCAGUGGUCAUUACUGCUUGUUAAUGAAGAAAAGACACAACAAUCAUUUUGGUGCCGAAACCCGGGAUAACUUGCAGACAUCAUCCGAAAUGGCGGAGCAACUUGAAAGACUACUCAAAAAACGGAGAGCUGUAUGCGGUUCCACAACGAGACUUUUGCACGAGGUAGAAACAGAGGUUGGCAAAGAUGAUCCGAUCGUUGACAGAUUAUGUGAACUGUUAGCCCUGUUAUCUGCAAAAGAGGAAACGCUGCUGGAGUUGGAUCACGAAAUAGAGAAGUGUACAGACAUUGAUGAUUUGGGAAAUGAAGUUGUUGAUGCAGAGGAGCAUGCAGGGCGAGUCGUCACCGCGAAGGCUCGCGUGCAGCGUGUGAUGCAGAGAAUCCGGGAAGGCCCCAACAACAGGCCGCGUGACGCAGUUCCAUUACAGCACGGACAAACAGUUAAGUUACCCAAGUUAAUUAUCAGCAAGUUCAGCUGUGAAAUUAGCUUGUGGCAUGACUUUUGGAAUCAGUUUGAAACCGCUAUUCACAAAAAUGACACGCUGAGCAAAACAGAGAAGUUUAAUUACUUGAAGACAUAUGUAACCUGCGCUGCUUCGAAGGCAAUAGCGGGACUGAUGUUGACAGACGGCAAUUACAAUCACAUGAUCGAUCUGCUUCAGAAACGGUUCGGAAGAAAGGAUCUGCUCAUUAAUGCGCAUAUGACUAAGCUGCUAAAUCUCUGUCCAGUAAAGAAAUCACAUGAUGUCAGUGCUCUGAGACAACUUUAAGAUGAAUGUGAAGUACAGAUCCGUAGCUUAGAAUCGCUGGGUGUUGCAUCAGAGGCAUAUGGCAGCCUGCUAUGCCCUGUUCUGCUACAGAUGAUUCCAGAUGACAUUGCUCUUCAGUAUAGUCGCUAAAGAGGAACCAGUGAUGAAUGGAAGGUCUUGGAAGUUAUGGAAUUUCUACAGAAAGAGAUCCUGAGCAUAGAAAGAGCCAUUCAGCUGAUUAAGCCAGGUAAUUCCAAAGACAGCCAGGUCUAUAACAAACCAUUUAAAAGGCCAAACGCAUCAAUUGAAAUGAAGCAGAAAAAGCAUUACAUGCCGUCAGCUGCAGUACUGCAAACCACCAGUCAAAGAAUACAGAACUGUCUUUUCUGUGACAGUGCAGCACACAAAACAGAACUGUGUCCAGUACAACUGAUAUUGCUGCACGAAAAGUAAAAUUGAUGAAACUAGGACGAUGUUUUGUCUGUCUUGGGCCAAAGCACAUUGCAAGAUUCUGUAAGGCCAAGGUGUGCUGUAAUGUGUGUGGAGGCAGACAUCAUAGUGCUGUGUGUGAGAAAGAAGAAACAAACACAUCAGACGGUGACUACAAAGAUGUUGUGGUUUCUUCAUUUGCUUCACAUUCUGUUAAGAUACAGCCCAAUAAACAGAACACUGUGCUUCUUCAGACUGUAAGAGCAUGGGCAGAAGGACCUGGUGGACGUAAAAGCUAUCGCUGCUUACUAGAUGGGGGCAGUCAGAGAAGCUUC